GGACGGGUGAGUAACGCGUGGGUAACCUGCCCUGUACAGGGGGAUAACAGUCAGAAAUGACUGCUAAUACCGCAUAAGACCACAGCACCGCAUGGUGCAGGGGUAAAAACUCCGGUGGUACAGGAUGGACCCGCGUCUGAUUAGCUGGUUGGUGAGGUAACGGCUCACCAAGGCGACGAUCAGUAGCCGGCUUGAGAGAGUGAACGGCCACAUUGGGACUGAGACACGGCCCAAACUCCUACGGGAGGCAGCAUG
rnacentral:rRNA from 1 species